rnacentral:lncRNA from 1 species
GGAAUAUAUAAUCAACCAUGACAGGUGCAUUCUGUUUUGAGGUAUGUAGAGAGGGAUCUCUUAAAGGACUUUAGGCUUAGGGAAGAUUUUAAAUGGUGCGGGAGGUCGUUCCACAAUUGCGGUGCUCUGUAGGAGAAGGAGGAUUGGGCUGCUUUCUUUUUGUAUUGAGGAAGACUAAGUAAAGUGUUGAUACUGGAUCGGAGCUUAUAGGAAGUGGGAACAGCUGGGGAAAGCAUUUUGUUCAGGUAGGGUGGGAGUUUCCCAGAAAAGCUCUUAAACACAAGGCUGGAAAGAUGAAGGGUGCGUCUGGAUUCCAGCGACAGCCAGUUUAGUUGUAGCGGAGCGGCAAUAUUAAAUCCCACGAUCUCCGCUGGUUCAGAAGGUAAUCCAUAGUCAAGCGCUGAAAAGCAAGGCAAUAUCCCAAAUCUCCCAGUAACCGGACGAAACACAGUUCUGAGAGUCAACUGAAGGCUUUAUUCACAGGCUCCACAAUUUAUACAAUUCCCCAGGGGUUUCCUGAGUCCUAUCCCAGGGGUAUUCCAGGGGUGGAUUACGUGGGGAACUUAAUGUACAGAGCAUUUCUCCCAUCAGGCACUGCUGCACAAGAGGGAUCCUCCCACUGGAACGUGCCGUUAAGUGGAUUAUCCCUCCGUGCAGCAGAAUCGUCAAUUUACUUUAAAAUAUACAGUUUUUCGAAUGUUAGGUCUAUUUGCACAAAUGGACGUUCGGUAGAUAGCUGGGGUCUGAGCGCAUCAUUCGUGAGAUUCCCGCUCAGAUCCCAGCUAAAACAACCGAACGCCGCACGAAAAACAUAUUCAUUAAAACACACACUUAAAAGACCAAUUGCUAUAUGGGAAAUAAAAUACCGAACGGCCUGGAAGCUCAGCGGUGUUCGCGCCGUCGACUAGCCGUUUUUAGUACCACACACCACUGGAGGAACAAAGGAUCCAAGAUGGCCGACCGCCGCAUGGUCGGUAGCCAAACGACGGCCACCUAGGAGAGCCUCUAAUUACAAUGUUGCAAUCGGUUAACGAGCGCCACACGUCUCUCAAUGUGUGGGCUGUUACAGGGUGGUUAUUUCGGUUCACGAACGGCCCGCAAAAGUGCCGUUCGUGAAACUAAAGGGAAUCAGCUAUCUGCUUUCGGCAGAUAGCCAAUGCAGGCAAUACAAAGCUACACAAUCGUAUUACAGUAUACCCAGAAACACACAUAACACGAAAAUCAUACAGGCAACCCUUAAAGCGAUAGUACUUAAUGUCCAAGUGGCUAGGUUUGCCACAUUAGUUCUUUUAGCAUGUCACAACGGUGGGUCCUGUAAUUACAUUGUAGCACAAAUCGACAGAACGAGUUAUACAAUGUGUUGAGUUUAUUAAGGUGGGAUUGCGAUGCAGAUGCAUAUACUACAUCCCCAUAAUCAAUGAUUGGCAUCAGCAUUUGCUGUACAAUCUUUUCCUUUACUGUAGGGCUUACGCAGGAUUUGUUUCUGUACAGGGCACCUAGUUUUGGAUAAAGGUUAGAUGCAAGUUUUUCUAUGUGGAGGCCAAAAGAUAGAUUGGGGUCUAACGUGAUACCCAAGUAUUUGAAAGAGUGGACUGCGGUCAGUGUGCUAUUUGAAUUAGUUUUGAUGGAUAGGUGGGAAUUGUGUAAUUUGUGUAAUUUAGGUACUGUUCCAAAGAUCAUUGUGACAUUAUUUGACAGUAUAAAUGUUUAAUUAUUUAAAAACCCGUGAUUGAUUAAACUUUUAUAGGUUAUUUAGUUCUCAUGCUUUACACCAUUAUUUAUUGAUACCAAGCUCAUGUAUGCUUUUAUCUCCAUACAUAUUGGGAAAACCUGUAAUUUGCACAUGCAAAUAAAAUACGAAUGUAAAAAAAAUAAAAUCUUCAAAACGUUAAAUCAUCAUCAAGUAUAACAGGAGAUUGUGGGGUGGGAGUAGAAGAUGCUAUCUAGAAGAUCAGGGAGAGAAAGUAAAAUGAAAGAAAAGAAAAGUGAUAUUAGUUUUCUAUUAGCCCGUACUCCAGGCUCACAGAGGUCAGCAGCAAAAAGUCCCUCGGCCUAUAAAUAUCUCUUAUGUUCCUACCAUCAUAUUACAGUAACAAGCCACUAGAAAGAUAUUGGAUAGGCUGUGAUGAGAACAAUGACUUUCAUAGAUACACUAGGGGCUCAAGUCAGCCCAAACAAUCAUGCCUUGAACUGGAAAUCUUGAAGAAUUUCCAUUAACUGCUGCCAGCUGCAGUAAAAACCUGUGUAGUGGGCAAUUGGUCAGUUUACAUAUUUCCUGGAGGUUUAAGAGUCUCCUGGAUAAAAUAUCCCAACGGUAGCAGGAAUGGACUCAAUACUGAAAUGCUCUUUUUUUGGGCGGACACAUUUUAGGACUAGAACAGGUCUGAAAGUAAUAACGGAUUUUAGAACAAACAAAGGCAGAAUAUGUUCCAUGAUAUUUCUCCAUAAGGAACUUACACUAACACUUUUCCAGAAGAGCUUAAACAGGUUGUAAAAGUGAAGGCUGAUGAUGAAAACUGACCGAAAUUGAACAGAAAAAUAUCUUCUGUGGUAUUCUCCCAUUAUUUGAAGAAAUAGGACUGUCUUCUUCUGCCCAAUAGUCAAACCUGAUCCCGGCAUGGUAAUUCCAGGGAUUUAUUGAAGACACUGAAUUUUCCUCUUUGCAUUUCUUCCUCAAAAGUGAGAUUGCCUAAAACAGUCACCUGAGACCUAAAGUUUUAUCUACACUUCCGUUGGAAAAAAAGAAGCAACUCAAUAUUUGUUACCUAAGACAUUUUUCUUUUUUAACGAUGGCAUCUAAAUGGAAUCCAAAGAGGGCACGCUUAUUUUUAAAGAAAAUGGUGGAACCGCUAAACUUAGAGGUGGAGUGUGCUACCCCUGGUUUCAGCCAUGACACUCUAUAGGUUACCUGAAAGGGAAGCCAGAGUUACCUUGGUCCACCGAGCGAGGGGACCGUUAUUGUCCCAGCUCCAGUCGGCAUCUACAUCAACACUAAUGCGGCCGCAGCGCAAUGUAUUUUAAAAUACCCGCUCUGGCGAUGUCUUAUUGUAUGUCUGGUAUUCCUAACUAUUCUACCUGUGUAUUUUACGUGACGUCUGGCCAGUCUAAGGCCCGGUAACACGCUUUAUCUCUGAGGUUAUAUUCUACGUACUGGAGUAUUAUACUUAUCCUUGACAUUACUGAUGUGAAUCCCACAGACCUGGCUGCCAGCUUCAAUGAUUCCUAUGAGGCUUCACAUAGACAACCAAAACCCACUCGGGCUCUGGAUACAGUUAUUGUAGUGUAAAAUCUUUACUUGGGCACUUGAUGAAAGAAAAGCUCUUCUGGUGAACCUUUUCAUUCUUCAGAUCAGAAGCAUCUUCCAUAUGAGUUUGGACAAUACUACAUGCCCUUUGGGAUCUUUGUCCAGAAAAAUAUUUUCCUCUAUAGUUAAAAAAUUGUAGAAAGUGUGGGGCCUGAGCAUCAUGCAUUUCAUGAAGGCUCUCCAUACUACUUCUGAUUUAAUUGCCUAAUCUGACUCAGACAACGCUUCUUGGGGGCAAAUGUCUUAUUUAGUAGUGGAACUGAUCGGAGCGCAUCUUGGAACUCUGUGCUGUGUCAAAAACCAUAGUCUCCCCCAUUUUGUGGCAGCAUGCAUUCACGGCAGACUUACGUUACCCCAUCUGGUCCCCACUGACUUGCUGCACAUACCAGCCUUACAUACUGCAGAUGCUUGCGGUUAUGGCAAAGAACAAAGCAGACUAUCAAGAUGGUGGGUGCAUCUCUUUCGGAGGCCUACUAUUACAAAAGCGGAAACAGACUGUCAUGGCCUAGUGGAACAGUCAGUGAGGAAACUGGAAGGAAUUUCGCUCUACUUUUGGAACAGUCUAGAGAAACAUAAAGCACACAACUUGUCUCAGGAGAAGAGCUGUAGGGGUGACAACAGGGAGGUGAGCAAAGCACUUUUGGGCACAGACUUUGUUCAAGCGCCCGUCUCUUAUUUGCCUAUCCAGGCCAUAGGCCAUCAGGAGAAAAUACCUGAAGCAUCUGCCAGCGGACAGAAGAUUGUCUGCCAUCAGAAAACCAAGGUCUUCAGUUACCCCCAAUAAAGGAAGGACUUGGACUCUAUGGGUCUCUGAGUCCGUGGCUCGAAGAUGCCAACCUCCAUAAAGGCCUGGGGCUGGAGGGCUGUCUUGCAUCACUCUAGCUGUCCUCAGUGACUCAUGUUUCCUCCAUUCGCUUUCCUAAUCAAGGCAUUGGAUGAACGUGGUCUGGUACAAUUGGGCAUCUCUACUGUUCCUAUUCUAACAAUAACACCAUUCUUGACCCUUUCAAGCAACCAACGCUCUUACAUAAUAGUUAUUACUGUUACUCUUCUCUUUCUUUUAUUUUUCUCAUUUGCAUUUAUGAUUUGUGCUGUGCAGGUUGAUGUUGAGCCCCAGUGGAAGCAUUUUGUCGUCUGUUACCCUAUCUUGUCAAGUAGACGGUCCAUAAUCUUCAUGUUAAGACAGACAAGUGUAUACAAGCUCACUAUCAGCCUUUAUAUAGACAUAGGAGCCUAACCAGUCAGGGUUAUACUCUGGGAAUGAGGCACCACUGGUAAACAACACAUCUUGAUAUAUAUGUUAUUAA